AAUUGCUUCUACUCCCUGUGGAUCCAGAUGUAGGACCCUCAACUCCUCCUCCAGUACCACGUCUGCCUGCUGCUGCCAUGUCCUGCCAUGAUGACAAUGGACUGAACCUCUGAAACCCAGGAGCCACCCUGGCUCCCAUGCUUCCUCUUUCAUCGCCUCUGUGGCCACCAUGGUCUGCUGUGCGUUCUUCACUACAGAAGAAAGACAGGGCGUCCUAGCAGAAGCGGCUGAGGACCUGCCUAGGCUAAGAGCUCUUGUUAACGACCAGAGAGCAGUGGCAACUGACCAACCUCUUCCCCGAAAGGAGACCAAGAUGGGACUGUGGGAAGAAGGAGGGUAGGAAACCACACACAAGUGUUUGCAGUAUUCAGGAGGAAUGAGAUUGCUGUAGUAUUAUGAUGUUGUUUCCCUGUGUUAUAACGGCGGUUGGGGCACCAGACUCUAAUCCAGGUCCUUCUGAGUUUUAUUUUCACCAACUCCCCUUUCUCACUCUCUAUGGCCUUCCGAAACGCCAUUCAUUGGCCACCACAACCAGAUGGUACCUGCAUUUUGAACGCAAACUUCUAAGGCUCCAAACAAUAGAAAGUCCUGUAACACGAAUAAUAAAUGACAGAGACAGAUACUGAAGAUCAGGGAAGCAAAGCAGCCGAGCAGCUGCUCUCACUCUAGCUCAGGUGGAAAGGGCUGAUCCACGCACGAGCUCUUCAAGUCUCAAACUGCUGCUUCUCCUCAGCAUGGCUAGAGAAUGAAUGCCUCUCUGAGACCUUGCUUCUGUCUUACAUGCUUCCCUAAUGUUGGGAAUAAAGAUGCAAGCUAUAA